rnacentral:rRNA from 1 species
UACGGGGGGGGCAAGCGUUGUUCGGAAUUACUGGGCGUAAAGGGCCAGUAGGCGGCCAACUAAGUCGGAUGUGAAAUCCCCAGGCUCAACUUGGGAACUGCAUCCGAUACUGGAUGGCUUGAAUUCGGGAGAGGGAUGCAGAAUUCCAGGUGUAGCGGUGAAAUGCGUAGAUAUCUGGAGGAACACCGGUGGCGAAGGCGGCAUCCUGGACCGGUAUUGACGCUGAGGCGCGAAAGCCAGGGGAGCAAACGGG